AGUCUAUUGAUCCUUCUAGAUGUAAAUAAUACAACCGGCCAAGGACUUUUCGAUGUGCUAGAGAAGGAGCUAAAACUGCUUGAUCUUGAUAUAAAUGAUGUGCAAGGACAAUGUUAUGAUAAUGGAUCAAAUAUGAAAGGAACGCAUCAAGGGGUACAAAGGAAACUUUUGGAUUUAAAUCCUAGAGCUUUUUAUUCUGCUUGUGGUUGUCAUAGCCUUAAUUUAACACUUUGUGAUAUGGCCAAGACUUGUGGUAGAGCAAAGGGCUUUGUUGGAAUCAUCCAACGCAUCUAUACAAUUUUUUCCAAUUCUACUAAGAACUGGCUUAUUUUGAAACAAAACGUAUCAAGAUUGACUCUCAAGUCUGUGUCAGCUACGCGUUGCGAAAGUCGUGUUGAAAGUGUUAAAGCUAUCAGAUUUCAAUGUUCAGACAUUCGGGGGCUCUACUUCAGGUAA
rnacentral:rRNA from 1 species